CUUAGCAGAACUUUGUGAUGAGAAAUAAGGGGGGGUACCUCUCUCACUUUAGGCAAAUGAGAUGGAAUUCUGAAAGACUUUCAGGCUCUAAAAAACAUCACUGAAGGUGAAGACUUUUCAUUCAAUCUCAAUUUUCUUAACCCCUUGAUCUCACCAAUUCAACUGUGAGCCCCUGGAUAGUUAUAAAGAUGACUAUCCAGUUUUUGAUGUGGGAUCAUUUUUCCUAUUUGUGGCCACUCAGUGUGAUUUGAACCUCAUUUCUAUGCUCGGGGAUGUUAUGUGUCCUGCCUCCUCAAGUGUCCUUUGAUGGUUCCUGCACGAACAGUCUCCUCACCCUCCUCAGGCUCAGAUACCCCGUUCCAGGCUUUUCCCACACGUGAGUAUCUCUUCAUCCUGAUUGGACCCUAACAUACCACACUAGGCUGCCUCCAUUCACAGAUGCCAUCCUCAUCUCACUUGGGAUCUAGAUAUCCCAUGCUGGGUUGACCUUCUGUGUAUCUACUCUUCUCACCCCACUUGGGCUCUGACUCCCCAUGCCAGGCUACUACUACUUAGUUUUUUGAGCUCAAACAUUCUGUGCCAGGCAGCCUCUCCUUAUGAAAACCCUCCUUGCUCUGCAUUCCUAAUGGCUUUAGGACUAAAAUGUUUGGAAAGAGGACGGGGAAGAGGAGGAGGAAGGAAAGGGGAAGGAAUCUUAAAAUAUUUUACUAGAUUUUUUAUAGUUAGCUCUUUGAUCCAUCUGGAACUUAUU
rnacentral:lncRNA from 1 species